rnacentral:sRNA from 10 species
GGUUAGCCUGAGUGCUAUAGUGUUUACAACGAAUUGAUCACAACCAGUUACAGAUUUCUUUGUCACAUCUUCACUGCUUCACUUGACUAGCCUUAA